GAUGAACGCUGGCGGCGUGCCUAAUACAUGCAAGUCGAGCGAACAGACGAGGAGCUUGCUCCGCUGACGUUAGCGGAGGACGGGUGAGUAACACGUGUAUAACCUACCUAUAAGACUGGGAUAACUUCGGGAAACCGGAGCUAAUACCGGAGAAUAUAUUGAACCGCAUGGUUCAAUAGUGAAAGACGGUUUUGCUGUCACGUAUAGAUGGAUCCGCGCCGCAUUAGCUAGUUGGUAAGGUAACGGCUUACCAAGGCAACGAUGCGUAGCCGACCUGAGAGGGGGAUCGGCCACACGGGAACUGAGACACGGUCCAGACUCCUACGGGAGGCAGCAGUAGGGAAUCUUCCGCAAUGGGCGAAAGCCUGACGGAGCAACGCCGCGUGAGUGAUGAAGGUCUUCGGUUCGUAAAAAUCUGUUAUUAGGGAAGAACAAAUGUGUAAGUAACUAUGCACGUAUUGACGGUACCUAAUCAGAAAGCCACGGCUAACUACGUG
rnacentral:rRNA from 1 species